CGCCUUUUGAAUUAUUAACAUAAAAGGUCCUGCCUGCCCAGUGACACUUGUUUUAACGGCCGCGGUAUUAUGACCGUGCAAAGGUAGCGUAAUCACUUGUCUUUUAAAUAAAGACCAGUAUGAAUGGCAAGACGAAACCUAACUGUCUCCCUAAGCUAGUCAAUAAAAUUGAUUUUCCCGUGCAGAAGCGGGAAUAAUAGUAUAAGACGAGAAGACCCUGUGGAGCUUUAAACUUAAGCUAACAAACUAUAAAUGCACUAGCACCAAGUUUUGGGUUGGGGCGACCGUGAGGUAAAACAUAACCCUCAAGACGAAAACUAAGAAGGACACUUCAUACAAAUAUUAAUAACAUAAUUGACCCAAUAAUUGAUCAACGAACCAAGUUACCCCAGGGAUAACAGCGCAAUCUACUCAAAGAGCCCCUAUCGACGAGCAGGUUUACGACCUCGAUGUUGGAUCAGGACCCCCAAAUAAUGCAACAGUUAUUAAAGGUUCGUUUGUUCAACGAUUAAAGUCCU
rnacentral:rRNA from 1 species